UACAGAGGUCUCAAGCGUUGUUCGGAUUCAUUGGGCGUAAAGGGUGUGUAGGUGGCGCCGUAAGUCGGGUGUGAAAUCUCGGGGCUUAACUCCGAAACUGCAUUCGAUAAUGCGGUGCUUGAGGACUGGAGAGGAGACUGGAAUUCAUGGUGUAGCAGUGAAAUGCGUAGAGAUCAUGAGGAAGACCAGUGGCGAAGGCGGGUCUCUGGACAGUUCCUGACACUGAGACACGAAGGCCAGGGGAGCAAACGGG
rnacentral:rRNA from 1 species